GCACUUUGUAUUCUAGUAAUAUAUGCACAGAAAAUCUCACAUUUUCUUGAAUUCUUAUGUUCUCUUCACAAUAUUUCAUAUCAAAAUAUAUCAUUGCACCCAUUUAGAUAUUGUGAACCUGAAUAUUGAUUCUUGGUUAGAACUUAGAUGGGGUUUCCCAUAGCAAUCAAAGGGUUUUCAAUGUGUUUCAGAUUGGGCACCAUUCUCUACUUGGCAAAUUACACAGGAAAAGUUCCUAUAAAAAAUCAAAAGUCAGCAGAUACUUUGAUAGGCAAUGAAGUGGUUUACCUCCUUUCUUUUUCAAAGGAUUUGAAUAGUAAAACAGGAC
rnacentral:lncRNA from 1 species